rnacentral:rRNA from 1 species
GUGCUUAACACAUGCAAGUCGAGUGCGCGCCUGUAGCAAUACAGGUGGCGCACGGCGCACGGGUGCGUAACACGUGGGUAAUCUGCCCUCUGAUGGGGAAUAACUCGCCGAAAGGCGAGCUAAUUCCGCAUAAUAUUCCGGGAACUUAUGUUUCUGGACUGAAAGGCGUAAGUCGUCGGAGAAGGAGCCCGCGCACGAUUAGCUAGUUGGUAGGGUAAUGGCCUACCAAGGCUUUGAUCGUUAGCUGGUCUGAGAGGAUGGCCAGCCACACUGGAACUGAGACACGGUCCAG